rnacentral:rRNA from 1 species
GUUAUAUGGUCAAGCGAAUAAGCGCACAUGGUGGAUGCCUUGGCGGUCAGAGGCGAUGAAGGACGUGGUAGCCUGCGAAAAGUGUCGGGGAGCUGGCAACAAGCUUUGAUCCGGCAAUAUCCGAAUGGGGGAACCCACUGUUUAGGCAGUAUCUUUGAGUAAAUUCAUAGCUCAAGGAGGCGAACCUGGUGAACUGAAAUAUCUAAGUAACCAGAGGAAAAGAAAUCAACAGAGAUUCCCUGAGUAGUGACGAGCGAACGGGGAUUAGCCCUUAAGCUAGUAUGGUUUUAGGAAAGCAAUCUGGAAAGGUUGGCCAUAGAAGGUGAUAGCC